GUGAAUCAUCGAAUCUUUGAACGCAAAUUGCGCUUCCUGGCAUCCCGGGAAGUAUGUCUGUUUGAGGGUCAGUAUUAAUAAAAAGUUGGCUGAGUUACAAAUUGUGGCGUUUGCGGUGUUUGGGCUAUCUUAACAUUUUGGGUUAAGAGGCUUAAAAUUUACCUUUUUUGCGCAUUUUUAAACGUACAUAUAUUUUUUUUAUUCGUCUAUUCUUAUUGCCAU
rnacentral:misc_RNA from 1 species